AUGGUGCUCAAUAAAUACAAGCCGAGGUCACAUGAUUACAUGACGCAACUGUACGAGAUUAGGCGCAAGUGUGCUAAGCCUUACUUUAAUGGUGUGUUUUGUGCGAAGAUGACCAGCACACAGAGGAGUGAAAGUGCAAACUACAUGCUAAAGAAUUAUGUGCCCCCUGGGUGUCCAAUGCAUAUGUUUGUUCAGAAGUAUGAGCUUCAGUUUGACAGAGUAUCGAUGGAGAACUACGAGGAGAAACGAACAAGAAUUAUAAGGUUGAUUUGGGAUUUUUUUUUUGUUGUAGUAAUUUUUUAA
rnacentral:rRNA from 1 species